AUGUUAACGGGGGAGGAGGGGGAGGGGGCGGCGGCGGGGGCGGGAGGGGGAAGGGGCCGGCGGGAGCUGCUCUCCGCUCGGCGGUCGCCGCGCCCGCAGUCUGGAGGCGCACCGGAGCGGCCGGGGCGCCCCCCGCGGGAGCCCAGAGCCCCCCGGAGCGCGCAUCCAGCCGCGGCUCCUUCGGCCGGGCACGCCGCGCCCGGGGGCUCCGCGGACCCCGCGUCGCCGCCGCUCCCAAGCUUGUGCGACGCGGGCUGGUCGGCGGGGCGGCGAGGGCCCGGCCCGCCUCCCCAGCGCCCGCCCCGGCUUCUCCCCCUGGCGGUGGAGCCUCAGCGGCCGCCGGCUACACUGAGCGCGCCGGAGCCCGAGCCCGAGCCGAGCCGAGCCCGAGCCGCCGCCGCCGCCGCCGCCGCCGCCACUGCCGCGCGCCGCUCCCAGGCUCCCUCCCAGCGCGCCGGUCGGGGUGUGGGGGGCGGCGGGCCGGAGGGACGAGGGCGGGCGAGAGGCGCGCGCUGGGAUUGGCGCCGAAGACCGGACCCUCAGCCGCUAGGGGACAUUGCACGUGUCUGCUCUUGUAAGACUUUGGCUGCAGAACCCAAGUGUGAACCCUGCUCGAGCUUUAAUGAGCAUCUACUAUAAGCUAAGAAGUAAGUGCUGUGGGACACAAAAAGGAGAGUGAAGUACCCAUUGUAUUCUCAUGGAGAUUGGAGUCUAGAAAGAGGUUGUAUGGGUCUGGAGAAGAUCAAAGGGGAGCCUGCAUGUGAGAUCUCUUUGGAAACCCUGAGGCACUCUGUGAAUGAAAAGGGAUGAUGAGUCUUGGAGCUUCGCCUAAAAGAAUUUAUGGCUUCAAUGUAAAAAGGACCAUUGGAGAUACUGGAAAACACAUUGUAUUUGCCAAGCCCCAGAGUGACAGAUUUUGGUUUUUCCUACUUCCUGAUAAUAUGCACAUCAUCAGCUAGGAGGCAGAGCAGUGCAGGCACUGCCCCCAGGCACUGAAGAAACCUGCUUGGUCUGCAGAGACCCAGCGGGAUGAGAAUGUUGAGCUGUCAAAUAUAUCAAAUACCAGUCCUCACUGAUCUUGGAGAGCCCUCUUAGUCCUGACCAGCUGUGGGGAAACAUCAAGUGGAACCUUCCAGACCAAGAUAAAUGGGCAACUCUUCCUAAGACUGGCCUAGGUAGCUGCCCUGGCUGAAAAUGCAGCUCCGUAUUUAGGGCUGGUGGAGACAGGUCUGCCAAAGGGGAGGGCAGUGUGGAGGAAAAACGGAAGAGCCUCAAGGGGAAACAGUUACCUUAAGAAAGAGUCUAGAAGCCCAAGAUACAAGCGUCGGGCGGGGAAGCAGCGGGGAGAAGAAGGAUGAGGGCUUCUCAGAGAAGGACUGCUCAGAUGCCCGAUCAUCUGGGUUUGCCCAAGACACAGGGUGUUCAGGACAAUCCCUGUCAAACCAGGGCAGCUGGUCACCCUACAACUGUGUUCCCUCACCUGUGUUGAAGACCAUGUGACAGCAGAAAAGUCACCGCUCUAGACCUUGUUUCUCAAAAUAUUGUCCACAGACUGGCAGCAUCAGUAUCACCUGGGAGCUUGUUAGAAAUGUACCUUCUCAGGCCCACACUAAGGCUGCAGGAUCAUACCUGCCGGAGAGGAAGAACCCCAGGUGAUCUGCAGGCACAUGAGUUGAGAAAGACUGCUUUAGAAGAUCCUGUGAGCCCUGGAGAAGAAAAAGUAGCACUGGUAGGGAGCAGAGAGAAUUUCUUGGCUGUGAUCUGGCAAAUGUCCAGGUCGGCCAGAUUCUAUACUGAAACUGUAUCAACCGGACCCGGCAAGGAGCAGAAGCAUUGAGAAGGUUACACAGUAAGGGGUACCAGGAAUUGAGAGCAGAGAGGUAAAAGGACAGAUGACACAAACUAGCCAAGAGGGGCCUCCUGAACUAUUAAUAGUAGUAGUUGUAGGAAUGUAGGAAAGCCAGAAAUCCAGCUAUUAUGUGGCGAGAGUAAAGCUGGAGAAAUACUCUUCUGUACCUGUUACCGUGACCCUGUUUCGGUAAAAACAAAAACAAAAACAAAAAACAAAAACAAGCUGACGUGGGCUGGGAAAUGUGAAAUGCGGAGUCACAGCAUUGUGGGUAGGCUUGCAGAGGAAGAAAAAAGGAUCACCCACUAAAAGUCUCAGCAUUAGCAUCUUGGCCUUCACUCGCAUAUUGCUCAGAUAUGCAAAGCAAGUUCAGUUUUCUCCCUUUUUCUCUACCUGGUCUGAUCUUCAUGGGCUCCAGCUCUGCAUUCUAGCAGGAAUAAUUUGCACUUAAUUAAUAGUGUUUCAUUUUCUUCCCGCUUGAACAUAAUUCUUUGACUUUAAACAUUCUAACCAGGGGUUCUUAAACUCAAACACACUGCAGAAUCACCUAGAGGGCAUGUUAAAACACAGAUUGCUGGGCCCACCCCCAGGGUUUCUGAUUCAGUACAUCUGGUAGAAACUUAGAAUUUGCAUUUCUAAGGAGUUCCCAGUCGAUGCUGAUAUAACUGGUCCGAGGAACACGCUUUACAACCUCUGAUUCAAAGUAUUCGGCAUUUUAUUCCCUCCCAAAGGUGAUGGUUGCAAAGGUCUUAGAUUAAAAUGCUUCUCAGAUUGGUUGAUCUGUUCUAUCUUGGAUCCAGAACCUGGUCUUCCUGUGUAUGGCCGGUAUGCAGUGGCACAGGCAUGCUUGCAUUGCUGGUUCAACACAUCUGAAAUGGUCUGUAUCUUGUUCCACAAGACAAGUCCUUUGGUCACAUGCUAGGAUGUCCUGGCAAGGUCAAUUUGUGAUACAUAUCUCUAAAAAGCAGCUCUCACUUGUAUUUAUCUUGCUUCAGACCAGUAGUAGUUUGGGGACUGGCACUGGCCCAUGGACCACAUUUUGAGUAAUGCUGUUUAGAUGACUCAGUCUUUCUCAGAUUCUUUACCUCCUUCUUCCUCCUCUUUCCCAAGAUAGCAUUUGGGUAUGCAAGGCGGGGGGGUGUCUUAUUUUAUCCUUGUGACAGCCUCGUAUCAUGCACCAUCCUGUAGAUACUCAGUGAUCCUCCCUAUUGAGGGGCUGGAUUCAUUCUUUCCCUGGAAUGGGGACCACCGAAAUGCAAGUAGGUCCCAUCUGAUCUUUUGGAAUGAUGUGUGCCGGUCUUCACGACUGCUGCCAUAGCCCUGAACACAUCCCUUAGUACCCAAGGUCUAUCUUCACCGCCUCUGUCCCUGCUCCUAGACCGCCACUAGUCUACCAGUAGUCUCCAUGGGAAAGUAAGAAGCUCCAGACACUCCUGUUUCCCACAUAAAGGCCAUCAGGAGGCAGGAAUGCCUUCCGAGUCCUGUGUAUCCAUCCAUCUGCUGCCACCUCUGUACCAUUGCUUCUGAGCCCCUUGGGAUUUGGUGUUGAGCCAAAUAUCCAGAGCCCGCUAGAGGCAGUGUAGUGCUGGAAGGAGCUUGUAGCCCAGCCAGUUGUUAAUUUUUCAGGAAUUUGGCCUUCCAGCUGUCCAACGUGGCCAUUAUUAAAAGUUAAAGGAUAACAACAUACAUUUAAACAAGUUAUAUUAAAAGCAAAGGUAGUCAAUACACAAAAUCAUCACCUUCUAUUUAUUUUACUGCGCUGGACUGUUAAUCUAUGUUUAGCAUAUGUGUGUGAUAGAAAUACUGUAUAAUCGUGUACUGCCACACAGGUCUUCUAAGCCCUGUUCGGUGAUACCGUGUUGAGAGCUUCCAAUCAGCCAAGGUAGGAGUAUUUGCGCUGUAGAAAUGAGCAAACCUUAUAAAUCAGGGUUCCACUCUCUCUCAUCUCCACCUCUCCAAGGCCAGUUGUUAAACAUUUGCCAGCACACCAUUGCUUAGAGCCUAAAUCUGGGAGUGAGCCAUUAAUCCACUGGCCUCUAGUCACCCUUUACUUACAUAGAUGUUACAAAGCUGCUCUUCCCCUAAAGAUUAGCUCCUGAAAGGUAUCUGUGAAAGAGAUAUUGAAUACUAGAACCUUGAUAUCAUCUUAUCUCCUUACCCUACUUUUAUCUCUCUUUUCUCUCUACCAUCUCUUGGGACCAGAAGAAUUGAUCUUCUGGUUUUUUAUUUCCUCCACAGCUUAUCCUCGUACAUUAAGGGUGAACAUUCAUGGCCUAACUUUACUCUCUGGCAUUCUUUCCCAAAACGUAUAAAUUUCUUCUAAUCAUGAGAAAACAUGAGACCAAAUUGAGGGGCAUUCUGCAAAACUUCUUCCUAGUUCCCUUCAAAACUGUGAGAUCGGGAAAGACAAGAAAAGACCAAGAAACAAUCGUAGCUUGGAGAAGGAGACUUGUGUACUAGAUUCAAUGUGGUAUCAUAGAUUGGCCCCUGGAAAAGAAAGAAAAUUGGUAGAAAAACUGAGGAGACCCAAAUAAGGUCUGAGUAUUGUACCAAUGUUGAUUUCUUAAUUUCAAUCAUUGUUUCAUUGUUAUGUAAAAUGUUAACAUCAUAUGAAGCUGGAUGAAGGGUAUAUGAGAACUCUAUAUUAUAUGUGCAGCUCUUCUGUAAAUAUACAGUUAUUUCUAAAUAAAACUAAUGAUGGGAAAAAUUCA